ensembl:lncRNA
UUAUAAGAGGACUCUCAGCCAGCCAAUGACACUGCCUAGCACCGAGGAGAGACAGAACCCGGAGGAGAACAGAGAGUGCGAAGGCAGUGAGGGAAGGAGGACCCCGGCAAACCCCAGCAUGAAAGUCAGCUCCGAGCACUACCUGCUGCCUCUCCUGCCUGCUCUGGUCAUCAGCACCAGGCAGAGAGAUGCUGCUGUAAGAAAAGGAUGAGGUGAAAGGAUUGGAUCUCUCAACAACUUGACAAAGCUGGAGGACUAGCUGGUUGUGGCAUCAUGGACUUUUUGACUUCUGCCCCUCUUCUCAUGAUUUUUAUUUAUCUCCAGGGUUAUCUUUGUGAAUGUGUCACUUUAUGAGACAAAAGGAACUUUAUGGAUAGAAUUAAUUUUGGUAACUCCAAAAUUUAAGUAGAGAUUUUCCUGGAUUAGCCAAAAGAAGAAAUCCAAGGUAAUCACACGAGCUCUUAAAAGAGCAAGGAUAAUUCAGAGCAAUGAAAAAAAAAGAAAUGCUUCGGAGAGGUAAGUCAGGAGUCAGAUUUGAAGUGUGUAAGGGUCUUGACUUGAUGUUGCUAGAUUUGAAUGGUUCCAUGAGCCUGGGAAUGUGGCACCAUCUAGGAUUUGGAGAGACUUCCUUCUGACAGCAAGGAAACAGGGACCUCUAUUCUACAACUAUAUGGAACUGAAUUCUGCCAAGAUCUUGAAGUAAACCUGGAAACAGAUUCUUCUUUUGGGCCUUCAUCAGCCAUGCUGAUGUUGAGUUCAGCACAGUGAAACCCAGAGCAGAGAACCUCAAGUGAGCUACACGGUGUCCAGACUUGUGACCUAUGGCACUGUGAGAUGAUACACUUGUUUUACCUUAAGUCACUCAAUUUGUGGUCAUUUGUUUCAGCAGUAAUAGAAAAUUAAUGUGGAUCUCAUAAAUUUCUUUUUAUAAUCUGAAAAUUUAAGAUGUUGGAGAAACUUUAUCUCCUACACCAGGAGUCAAAAACUACAACCUACUGACCAAAUCCAACCUACUGCCUGUUUCUGUACAGCUUGGAGUUAAGAAUGAUUUUACAUUUUAAAAUGGUUUUAAACACCAAAAUAAACAAUAUUUUUGAAACAUAGAGAUUACGUGAAAUAUACAUGUAUGAAUCCACAAAGUUUUAUUGGAAAACAGUCACAUUCAUUUAUCCAGAAGUCUAUAACUGCUUUUCAGAUACAAUGGAUGGGCAAAGAAGGUGUGAUGGGGAUCAUAUGGCCUACAAAGGUUAAAAUACCACCAGGGAAGCUUUAUUAUGGUCUCCCCACUCUUCCGUAAGAGGAACAUCCGUAACAGGGCAAUUCAUCUGUAUCUGCAGCCCUGAAAGGCUUUCAUUUUACUUAGAAGUUAGACAUUUGCUUAAAAAUUUUCAGAUGAAUUCUUGAUACCAUUUUAUAUGGCAUGACAGUGUUUAUCUCAGUAAGCAAAUGAUCAGGUCAUGUGUCUUUUUUUAGGCUCUGCCACUUCCCAGAUUUUGAGUUAGAGGGUAGCCCUCUGACUUCAGCUUUAUGUAGGGUUCAAGAAAAUUUACAGUUUUUAAGUGUGGAAGUGAUGCUCUUUGCAGCUCUCUACAUCUCUGAACUGACACUAGAUCCAUCUUAAAGAAAUGUUUUCAG